rnacentral:rRNA from 1 species
GCCCUAGUAACGGCGAGUGAAGCGGCAACAGCUCAAAUUUGAAAUCUGGCUCUUUCAGAGUCCGAGUUGUAAUUUGCAGAGGGCGCUUUGGCUUUGGCAGCGGUCCAAGUUCCUUGGAACAGGACGUCACAGAGGGUGAGAAUCCCGUACGUGGUCGCUAGCUAUUGCCGUGUAAAGCCCCUUCGACGAGUCGAGUUGUUUGGGAAUGCAGCUCUAAAUGGGAGGUAAAUUUCUUCUAAAGCUAAAUAUUGGCCAGAGACCGAUAGCGCACAAGUAGAGUGAUCGAAAGAUGAAAAGCACUUUGGAAAGAGAGUCAAACAGCACGUGAAAUUGUUGAAAGGGAAGCGCUUGCAGCCAGACUUGCUUGCAGUUGCUCAUCCGGGCUUUUGCCCGGUGCACUCUUCUGCAGGCAGGCCAGCAUCAGUUUGGGCGGUGGGAUAAAGGUCUCUGACACGUUCCUUCCUUCGGGUUGGCCAUAUAGGGGAGACGUCAUACCACCAGCCUGGACUGAGGUCCGCGCAUCUGCUAGGAUGCUGGCGUAAUGGCUGUAAGCGGCCCGUCUUGAAACACGGACCAAGGAGUCUAACAUCUAUGCGAGUGUUUGGGUGUCAAGCCCGAGCGCGUAAUGAAAGUGAACGGAGGUGGGAACCCGCAAGGGCGCACCAUCGACCGAUCCUGAAGUUUACGGAAGGAUUUGAGUAAGAGCAUGGCUGUUGGGACCCGAAAGAUGGUGAACUAUGCUUGAAUAGGGUGAAGCCAGAGGAAACUCUGGUGGAGGCUCGCAGCGGUUCUGACGUGCAAAUCGAUC